CUACGGGGGGCAGCAGUAGGGAAUAUUCCACAAUGGGGGCAACCCUGAUGGAGCAACGCCGCGUGCAGGAUGAAUGCCUUCGGGUUGUAAACUGCUUUUAUAAGUGAAGAAUAUGACUGUAACUUAUGAAUAAGGAUCGGCUAACUCCGUGCCAGCAGCCGCGGUCAUACGGAGGAUCCGAGCGUUAUCCGGAGUGACUGGGCGUAAAGAGUUGCGUAGGGGGUGUAUCAAGCAGUUAGUGAAAUCGUGUGGCUCAACCAUACGGCUAUUAGCUGAACUGAUAUACUUGAGAAUAUGAGAGGUAGAUGGAAUUCCCAGUGUAGGAGUGGAAUCCGUAGAUAUUGGGAGGAACACCAAUGGCGUAGGCAGUCUACUGGCAUAUUUCUGACCCUGAGGCACGAAAGCGUGGGGAGCGAACCGGAUUAGAUACCCGCGUAGUC
rnacentral:rRNA from 1 species